GACGAACGCUGGCGGCGUGCUUAACACAUGCAAGUCGAGCGGAAAGGCCCUUCGGGGUACUCGAGCGGCGAACGGGUGAGUAACACGUGAGUAACCUGCCUUCAGCUUUGGGAUAACCCUCGGAAACGGGGGCUAAUACCGGGUAUGACUGCCUGCCGCAUGGUGGGUGGUGGAAAGAUUUUUUGGCUGGAGAUGGGCUCGCGGCCUAUCAGCUUGUUGGUGGGGUGAUGGCCUACCAAGGCGACGACGGGUAGCCGGCCUGAGAGGGCGACCGGCGACACUGGGACUGAGACACGGCCCAGACUCCUACGGGAGGCAGCAGUGGGGAAUAUUGCACAAUGGGCGGAAGCCUGAUGCAGCGACGCCGCGUGAGGGACGACGGCCUUCGGGUUGUAAACCUCUUUCGACCCUGACGAAGCGCAAGUGACGGUAGGGGGAGAAGAAGCGCCGGCCAACUACGUGCCAGCCGCCGCAGUAAGAC
rnacentral:rRNA from 1 species